rnacentral:rRNA from 1 species
UACAGAGGUCUCAAGCGUUGUUCGGAUUUACUGGGCGUAAAGGGCGCGUAGGCGGCAUAUUAAGUCAUCUGUGAAAUCUCCGAGCUUAACUCGGAACUGUCAGCUGAUACUGAUGUGCUAGAGUGCGGAAGGGGCAAUCGGAAUUCUUGGUGUAGCGGUGAAAUGCGUAGAUAUCAAGAGGAACACCUGAGGUGAAGACGGGUUGCUGGGCCGACACUGACGCUGAGUGCGCGAAAGCCAGGGGAGCAAACGGG